AAGGAAUAUUGGUCAAUGGACGCAAGUCUGAACCAGCCAUGCCGCGUGGAGGAUGAAGGUCCUCUGGAUUGUAAACUUCUUUUAUCUGGGAAGAAACCCAUAGAUUCUUCUGUGGUUGACGGUACCAGAUGAAUAAGCACCGGCUAACUCCGUGCCAGCAGCCGCGGUAAUACGGAGGGUGCAAGCGUUAUCCGGAUUCACUGGGUUUGAAGGGUGCGUAGGCGGGUUGAUAAGUCCGUGGUGAAAUCUCCGAGCUUAACUCGGAAACUGCCGUGGAUACUAUCGGUCUUGAAUGUCGUGGAGGUAAGCGGAAUAUGUCAUGUAGCGGUGAAAUGCUUAGAUAUGACAUAGAACACCAAUUGCGUAGGCAGCUUACUACACGAUUAUUGACGCUGAGGCACGAAAGCGUGGGGAGCAAA
rnacentral:rRNA from 1 species